rnacentral:rRNA from 1 species
UACGAAGGGUGCAAGCGUUAUCCGGAUUUACUGGGUUUAAAGGGUGCGUAGGCGGGCCAUUAAGUCAGUGGUGAAAGCUCCGAGCUUAACUCGGAAACUGCCAUUGAUACUAUUGGUCUUGAAUUCGGUCGAGGUUGGCGGAAUGUGUCGUGUAGCGGUGAAAUGCUUAGAUAUGACACAGAACACCGAUUGCGAAGGCAGCUCGCUACACGAAUAUUGACUCUGAGGCACGAAAGCGUGGGGAUCAAACAGG